rnacentral:rRNA from 1 species
UACGUAGGGGGCGAGCGUUGUCCGGAAUCACUGGGCGUAAAGGGUGCGUAGGCGGCCUGGCAAGUCCGAGGUGAAAGACCAUGGCUCAACCAUGGGGGUGCCUUGGAAACUGCUGGGCUUGAGUGCUGGAGAGGCAAGGGGAAUUCCACGUGUAGCGGUGAAAUGCGUAGAUAUGUGGAGGAAUACCAGUGGCGAAGGCGCCUUGCUGGACAGUGACUGACGCUGAGGCACGAAAGCGUGGGGAGCAAACAGG